UUAGAUUCUUCAGAUCUUUGUGUCCUCAGGUGAUUUGUCGACUGCUGUCUCUCCCUGAAGACUACUGGAGACAAGUCCUCGCCGUCCACGCCGAGACACCACUGUCCUCCACCAGUAAGACCUGUGGACCGCAGGACAGCCACGGUCGUCUGUUUGAGCCGUUAACUUCUCCUGAACUCAACUCUUUUUAUAAAAGUCACACAAACAGAGGAUCAGUGAGAGGACGCAGCAGCAGACAGCAGGGACACACUGUGUCCAACAUUCGAGUCGAACCUGGAAGAAGAUUCUUUACGUCACCGAGCUGAACUCGCGUGUGUGCGUGUGUGUGUGCGCGUGUGUGUGUGUGUGAGAAUGUGUGCGU